GAUGAACGCUGGCGGCGUGCCUAAUACAUGCAAGUCGAGCGAACAGACGAGGAGCUUGCUCCUCUGACGUUAGCGGCGGACGGGUGAGUAACACGUGGAUAACCUACCUAUAAGACUGGGAUAACUUCGGGAAACCGGAGCUAAUACCGGAUAAUAUAUUGAACCGCAUGGUUCAAUAGUGAAAGACGGUUUUGCUGUCACUUAUAGAUGGAUCCGCGCCGCAUUAGCUAGUUGGUAAGGUAACGGCUUACCAAGGCAACGAUGCGUAGCCGACCUGAGAGGGUGAUCGGCCACACUGGAACUGAGACACGGUCCAGACUCCUACGGGAGGCAGCCGUAGGGAAUCUUCCGCAAUGGGCGAAAGCCUGACGGAGCAACGCCGCGUGAGUUAUGAAGGUCUUCGGAUCGUAAAACUCUGUUAUUAGGGAAGAACAAAUGUGUAAGUAACUAUGCACGUCUUGACGGUACCUAAUCAGAAAGCCACGGCUAACUACGUG
rnacentral:rRNA from 1 species